rnacentral:lncRNA from 1 species
GUAAGGAUUUGCAGGUAAUUUUUUGAGAUGUUCUGAAACUUGUCCCUAAACUGAAGCAGAGAUGUAAGGAGGUUCCCAAAUGUCUUUCAAAGAACCCAAGAAGUGGUUCUAAGGCCCUUGCUUUUGUGUAGAGUCUGAAGCAUACCUUGAUUGAAGACUGCUGUACGCAUAAAUCUCAUUGUCUCAUAAACCUCAUUAUACACCUGGACAUUGUGUUGCAGAAAUGUUUCAUUGCAGACCUACAGUUUUCGGUCUAGAGCCCGUGACCCCAAAACCCAUUAGGAAAGGCAGGACAGUAAGAAGUUUCAGUAAAAACAAAACAUGGCAGAACGACACAACUCCAAUGUUGCAGUUCACCUCGGUGUCUCAAGUUGUGUGGAUCCAGUAUUUCUGGUAAGUGGAAAGCUGUUUUCCUCACAAGGAUGAGUGCAUGCAUUCUGGAAGGUGGUAGUGCCUCUUAUGGGGCAGACAGUCCCAAUUUACAGUGGUUCUUAGGAGACCAAAAAGCUUACUUUUUUUUUAUGCUGACAAUAAAAGUACACAUGGGUAUACAGUAUCUUGUGUAGUAAGAUGUAAUGAGGGGUAGC